UGCUCUCUUUCAAUGAUGAUGGUGGUCCACAGCUGUUGUGUAUGCGUCCCAUUGGGAGUAUACUUUGUUCCUGUAAUCAGAUCUUUACAGACAGACUG